rnacentral:rRNA from 1 species
UACGUAGGGUGCAAGCGUUGUCCGGAAUUAUUGGGCGUAAAGAGCUCGUAGGCGGUCUGUCGCGUCGGCUGUGAAAACCCGGAGCUCAACUCCGGGCCUGCAGUCGAUACGGGCAGACUGGAGUUCGGCAGGGGAGACUGGAAUUCCUGGUGUAGCGGUGAAAUGCGUAGAGACCCGGAGGAACACCAGUGGCGAAGGCGCUUCCUGUCUGCGACUGACGCUGUGGCGCGAAAGCUAGGGGAGCAAACGGG